GCCCCCGUAUCCCAACUGGCAGAGGACGCACCCUUAAAAGGCGCUCAGUGUGGGUUCGAGUCCCACCGGGGGCA
rnacentral:tRNA from 1 species